UUUUACUUUAUUGUCGAUUCGAAGGAUCAUGUCAUCUUUCCUCAACCUCUUACUUUCUAUUAGAUCCUGCGUUGAAGUACAUAUAUGAAUACUCGAACCAGAGUCCAAUAUCCAACUAGAAGUAGAAGAAAUCGUAAGAUUAAAUUUAAUUACGAGCAUGCCUUUUGAAGAUUUAUCACACUUUUUGUUCUUUGAGCUCUCC
rnacentral:lncRNA from 1 species